rnacentral:lncRNA from 1 species
ACAGUUCCUCAUGAAACUUUCAAUAUCUUAUUUAUAUCAGUAUAUAUUUAUGAACUUCUAUUUUAUUCAAAAAGUUACUAUCGUCAUUUACUUUGAUAUUUAAAUUAUCUCAGAUUUAGGCAGUGUGAUCCCCUUCAGGUUGUCUCCUAUGCCCUUCUGACAGGCUCCCGACCUUCUUGGAUAGUUCUUUGCUUUCUGGUACAAGAAAAUAGCCCAGACUCAUUUUGUACUUCCUCUGCUCAAGUCCAAGAAGCUUCAGUUAAUUUUAAGGAAAAAUGGUCAUCAGAAAACAUGAUCUAUGUACUAGAUAUACUCAUUGCUUUUAAGUUAUUGUUGUUACUAGGUGUCUUCUCAAAAAAGAGCGUUAGGAAAUGUAUGUUUGUGUUUAUGUGUGUAUGUGUAUGCAUAAAUAUACAUAAACCUAAAAUAUACACACACAUAUACACGUGUUUAUACCUACAUUUUUCCUAAAUCUAUCUUAUCUAUUUAUACUUCCAUUUGUAUUGAAAACCAUAACUCACACCAAUAUCUCUAAUUCCAGUCUAACACCAUAGGGUUCGGUCUUCUCAUCCCACUUGGUCUCUGUUACUCUGCUCUUGGCUGGCAUCCCUUGAAGAUAUCCUCUUCAAGCCACUUGGGUUCUGAUCCCAAACAGCCGCCUGUUACCAGCAGCCCUGCCUUUGUGAAAGUUCUCUUCUUCCUGCUUGGGCUCAGACACUAAACUGGGCCACCAUCUGGUCCAUUCUCUUUACACCACUCAGACUCUAACAUUUUGCUCUUGAGCACGAUGCCUCCCCAUUCUACUGGCAUGGACACUGACCCUGCUUAGCCCCACUUAAUGACGUUUUGGCUAAAUUGUUUCAAAAGGGGAAGGAAGGGAAGAUGAAGAGAUAUUGAAUUCUUAUCACAAUUUAUGCUUACCCAUCUACACAUAUCCAUGUACUUUUUAAAAACUGUCUUUAAAAAAAAAAACUAUCUAAAACAACCUGUUCCCUUCACUUCAUCUGGAAAACCGCCAUUAUUUUUCAGGUAUAAGAUUGAAUAUCAUUUUACCCGAAAGGUGUUUCCGAAGUCCUGACUCUAGGAUAGGAUCUAAUGGUCACACAUCGUAUCACCUCAGUGUCUGGCAUGUAGGAGGUUUUGUGUAUGUGUGUGUGUGUGUGUUUUAAUCACCCUGCUUCUUAACCUAUAUCUCAGAUUUCUAAUGAUUAUUUAGAAGGAUUGAAUACAGGUUCUUAUGCCACCUUAAAUGCAAUAGAAAGAAUGUGUCUUACUAUGUAGGUUAACUAUUUAGAGGUUUCUAAAAAUUAAUUGAUUCCAAUACCUAUUUAUUGCCAAAAAGGAAAAAAUCAUCAAUAUUAAGUUAAAAGUAAAAUCUCGUUUUGGCAGAUAUUUGCAAAAAUAUAACUGAUUUGAUGAAAUAUCUUCACUUAUAGGUCAAGUUCUUUUAGUUACCUAGAGAUAUAUUUAGCAGCUCAUUUACAUUGGAGGACACCUUGUAAGGUUAUGCUGCUUAGUGUUAAAUAUUUUAUAGGAAAUUACUGGCAUGUCUCCUCAGCCAAACUGAGUGAUUAUUAAUGCAUGAUUAGAAAAUCAUCAGAGUUGUACAUACUUUAAGUGUAUAUGUAAUAUUUUGAUACAUGUAUGCUAUGUGUAGUUAUUAAAUCGGGGUAACUGGGAUAUUCAUCACCUCAAACAUUUAUCUUUUAUUUGUGUUGGGAACAUUACAAUUCUUCUCUUCUAGCAAUUUUGAAAUAUAUGAUAAAUUAUUAUUAUUAACUAUAAUUUCCCUACUAUAAUAUCAAAUACUAGAACUCAUUCCUUCUAUCUACAUUUUGGUACCCAUUAAUCAACUUCUCUUCAUCCCACUCUUCUCCUUUCCCUUCUUAGCCUCUGGUAACCACCAUUCCACUCUCUACCUUCAUGAGAUACACUUUUUUUUAGCUCUCACAUAUGAGUGAGAACAUGUGAUAUUUGUGUUUCUGCGCCUGGCUUACUUCACUUAACAUAAUGACCUCCAGUCUCAUCCAUGUUGCUGCAAAUGACAGCAUUGCAUUCUUUCUAUGCCUGAAUUCUAUUCCAUUGUGAAUUUGUACCACAUUUUCUUUAUCCGUUCAUCCAUUGAUAGACACCUAUCAUCAUUUUGAGAUUAUGCUAAGUGAAAUAAGCCAGUAACAAAAGAACAAAUGCUGUAUAAUUCCACUUAUAUCAAGUAUAAGUGAUUUCAUAUCUAGGCUGUUAUGAAUAGUGCUGCAAUAAACAUGAAAAUGCAGAUAUCUCUUCAAUGUACUAAUUUUCUUUCGUUUGGAUGCAUACCCAGCAGUGGGAUUGCUGGAUUACAUGGUAGUUCUAUUUUUAGUGUUUAAAAGAACCUCUAUACUGUUUUCCAUAGUGGCUGUACCAAUUUCCAUUCCUGCCAACAAUGUAUAAAUGUUCCCUUUCCUCCACCCCUUUACCAGCAUUUGUUAUUGUUUGUCAUUGUGAUAACAGCCAGUCUAACUAGGGUGGUAUGAUAUUGC